GUCUGUUAUGAGCGUAUCCAUAUUUGUUUAGAAAAGUGCUUACAGUGCUCAAUCCGGGCCCCACGCCACUUAACAGACUUAAAAUGGACCAUGUAAAUGGACCGUUUGCACAUGUCCAGGGGAGUUCAAGUUUGCAGUACUCGUGUGUCUCCACAGAACAGGGGAAGCUUUAAACCCAGAGAAUCGUCUUCGCUUUGCUGGUCUGUGUUCCGGAACACAGCAUUCCCACGACAGGCAGUGCCAUCUGCAUGGAAGCCCGGUCACGUUUGUUGCUGGGCAGGCAACCCCACCUGCUUUGUUUGAUGUACACUGAUUCUCUUGGGCUCAAACCUAAAGACUUACUCCUAGGUUGUAUUUUAUGAAGUGAAUUUUAAAAAUGUAUUUGGUUAUUUUAUUUUUUGCUGCCCUGGGUCUUUUCGCUUUACGUGGCUUUUCUCCAGUUGUAGCCGGGCGGGGGGCUACUCGCUAGUGGCUGUGCAGGGCUUCUUGCUGCAGAGUGUGGGCCUCAAGGUGCAUGAACUCGGAACUUGUGGCUCAUGGGCUUAGUUGCCUCACGGCACAUGGGAUCUUCCUGCAUCAGAGGCCAAACCCAUGUCCCCAACAUUGGCAGGCCGGAUUCCUAUCCACUAAGCCACCAAGACAGUCCCCAGAUUGUAUUUUAGAAACACCACCAGUGACGGAUACUUUGGCCGCUUCAACCUUGCUUCAGCCUCGGGGUCUCAGUUCUGAACCUUCUGCGGAGCCCACGGUGGCGCUGGUGCGCUGUGGGCGCCUCACAGGCUUGUUCAGCCCUUCAGGGUCCUGUCCUCUGUUGACCGUCUCAUCCCAUAAACUACGUUCAGAUGCAGUUCCCCCUGCAGUUUCUGCAUUCUCUUUAUUAGAAUUGUCGCCCAUACCUUGGGGCCUUCAUAUUCUCCCAGGUUGGGGGGUCAGAGGCAGAUAUGUUUCUUUUUGGUAA
rnacentral:lncRNA from 1 species